UGGGGAAUAUUGCACAAUGGAGGGAACUCUGAUGCAGCGACGCCGCGUGAACGAAGAAGGCUUUCGAGUCGUAAAGUUCUUUUAUAUGGGAAGAUAAUGACGGUACCAUAAGAAAAAGCCCCGGCUAACUACGUGCCAGCAGCCGCGGUAAUACGUAGGGGGCUAGCGUUGACCGGAAUCACUGGGCGUAAAGGGUUCGCAGGCGGAAAUGCAAGUCAGGUGUAAAAGGCAGUAGCUUAACUACUGUAAGCAUUUGAAACUGCAUAUCUUGAGAAGAGUAGAGGUAAGUGGAAUUUUUAGUGUAGCGAUGAAAUGCGUAGAUAUUAAAAAGAAUACCGGUGGCGAAGGCGACUUACUGGGCUCAUUCUGACGCUGAGGAACGAAAGCGUGGGUAGCAAACAGG
rnacentral:rRNA from 1 species